GAUGAACGCUGGCGGCGUGCUUAACACAUGCAAGUCGAACGGAAAGGCCCAAGCUUGCUUGGGUACUCGAGUGGCGAACGGGUGAGUAACACGUGGGUGAUCUGCCCUGCACUUCGGGAUAAGCCUGGGAAACUGGGUCUAAUACCGGAUAGGACGAUGGUUUGGAUGCCAUUGUGGAAAGUUUUUUCGGUGUGGGAUGAGCUCGCGGCCUAUCAGCUUGUUGGUGUGGUAUUGGCCUACCAAGGCGUCGACGGGUAGCCGGCCUGAGAGGGUGUACGGCCACAUUGGGGCUGAGAUACGGCCCAGACUCCUACGGGAGGCAGCAAUGGGGAAUAUUGCACAAUGGGCGCAGGCGUGAUGCAGCGACGCCGCGUGGGGGAUGACGGCCUUCGGGUUGUAAACUCCUUUCGCUAGGGACGAAGCGUUUUUGUGACGGUACCUGGAGAAGAAGCACCGGCUAACUACGUG
rnacentral:rRNA from 1 species